AUGCUUUCUUGUUUAAACCAGGACACUGAGAGAGAGAACAAGGACUCAGAAUCAUUAGUGGCACAGUGGAUGUACAAGUGGAGAGUCCUUACUCCCAAUUCUGACCACUUGACUCUCAAAUCAACGUAUACGAGGUGUCUCGCCAGGAGGAAAACAUUCAAAUUGUGACGGAUCUGCCUGUCCAACCCAUCGAGGCUGUUAUGACGGCCAAGCACAGCCUCUGCCCCAGGGUUUCCACGAAGCGACAGUUGUAACAGCACCCAGCAUCUGUCCGGAGCCCCCGCUGUCUGCAGUGAGAGGUUCUGUGCUGGCUCCAUGUACACCGUCCUCACUGAGUCUCAGGGCAGCCAGCCGGGGCUGCCAUGUUGGCAUGGCCCAGAAGAGGAGGGUGAGAAGCGUGACACUGAAGGAACAAGCCGGGCAUCGCCAAGGGGCCGUCCUGCGGUUGGAGCUGGGCCCCUCGUGCCCCUGCUGCCUUGUGGGUGGGGGCAGCCAUGUGAGGAAGGUGGGUGGCACACCCCCGUUUCUCCAUCUGGCCCCUCUUUGGCUCCAUUUGCCCGGGUGACCCUCUUGGGUGUGUGCCAGGGUCCCUGCCGUGUAACUACGUUCCAGAGAACAAGUUCUUGUUCUCCGCCCCUCCUCAGUGGGCACGUCACCACUGGCUCCAGGGGCUGAGAACAGCUAGGAGCCCGGAACAGCAGCGCCAGCUGCGGCCUUCCUGCUGCUGAGAAAGGGGUUUGGAGAACUCUGCCGAGGGGUCUGCCUACACCCACGUAUUCUACUCCCCUUUGAAGCCCAGGCACUUCCUUUGAUCUUCCUGGGAGAGCUGCCUUAUCUUGCCUUGUCCUGGGGGGAUCAUGAACUUCUGUCACCCCUGCCCUGGCUUUCUGGAAGGCACUGGCUCCAGGUCAUGCUGUGCUGUCCUGGGUGGGUCCUUCCCGUCCGGCCACUGUGUGAAAUGCAGCAACUUCCCUCCUGGCUCUUUAGGAAUGAGCCUUUGCGCGACUUCCUGUUUGAUCAACCCCGAACAGCAGCCCCCCACUUGGAUUCCGAGUGGCCCCACGCCUCCCCUUGAGCUGGUCCUGUGCUCUGUGUGGAGACUUUCCUUCCCUUCCUGCGGAAGUGGGUACGAGCCCUCUGUGGGAUCCACUGCAUGGCUGGGCAUCCACAGGGAGGUGGGGCUGAUCUGGGGAGCGGGUCACUGCAUGCUUCCACGUGGUCUUUUUGUGCCAGUUUUGGAAAGACCCUCCUAAAGCAGUGUCUCCAGCACAGAGAUGACCUGGUGGCAGCUCUGGCUGAUGGGUCAGCUCACGGAUAAAUUGCUCCCCCUAGACUGCCCCAUGCAGGCUCCAGAGAUUCAUGGUAUGGACCCACCACAGCCCGAAAGAGGAUGAGACGUGGGUCCUAGGAAGCCGGGGAUUCUGCAUCUGCACUGUGUUGGCCACCCUCACUGCCCCCUCACCGUGCAAACCACCCCCCGGUGUCCCCGCCCCACCCCGCCACAGGCGGAGACGACAGACAUGCAGCAGGCAGGGGCACGCAGCCCAGCUGGGCCAGGACCGGCCCUGAGGCCUCGGUGCCUGAGCCUCCCAUGCUGCGAGGAAGCGUAAUCGCCCCAUUGGUGCUCUGUGUAGAUUAAAGCAUUCCUACCACGGAGAGCUUGUACCCCGUCAGGAGUCAAUAGCUCAUAAGACGCAGCGUUAUUCCCAUUGUUGUUAGAAGGUAAUUCUGCCCCUGCUCUGCCAGGAGACAGAUCCCUUCACCCCACCACUGAUGCCCCAGGCUGGAGCUGACUCUCCAUGUGGCAUUGCCCCAGCCCCCAACCCACUGCAGGGAGCACAGAGAGGGGUGGGCAUCUCCCUGCCCAGGGAGCUCACACCCUGGACUGGCACACACCCCAGCAUGCGCAGGGCGGUAUGAAGAAUGUUCCAGAGCCCCAGGGCAGAGGUGGUCUAUGGUAAACGUGCCUCAGAGUCAGACUGGAGACUGAGCUGUACUUUGCAGGAAGGCACGUUCCCAGGGAGGGUGAGGGCACUCCCGCCAGCAGGAACAGGACGGAGGAAGGCCCUGCCGUGUUGAGUUCACAAUAUGUGGGGUGUGAUCACUCCAAGGGGCCUGGAGCAGAGCGGGCAGCAGGAGACUGGACAGGAAGGCCCAGUGGUGUCCUGCCCAGAGUGAAUAAAUCCUGUGGCUGAUGGGGCGUCAAAAGCUAUUGUAGGGGACAGGGGCUGGUUUGCUCAAUAAUAGUGGGACAAAG